AGCAGCCGUGGUAAUCCCAGCUCCAAUAGCGUAUAUUAAAGUUGUUGCAGUUAAAAAGCUCGUAGUUGAAUUUCGGGGUUAGUAGGUUGGUCAUGCCUCUGGUUUGUACUGGUCUCACUGAUUCCUCCUUCCUGAUGAGCCGUAAUGCCAUUAAUUUGGUGUUGCAGGGAAUUUGGACUGUUACUUUGAAAAAAUUUAGAGUGUUUAAAGCAAGCUAACGCUUGAAUACAUUAGCAUGGAAUAAUGAAAUAGGACGUUCGAUCCUAUUUUGUUGGUUUCUAGGAUUGACGUAAUGAUUAAUAGGGAUAGUUGGGGGGCAUUAGUAUUCAAUUGUCAGAGGUGAAAUUCUUGGAUUUAUUGAAGACUAACUACUGCGAAAGCAUUUGCCAAGGAUGUUUUCAUUAAUCAAGAACGAAAGUUAGGGGAUCGAAGACGAUCAGAUACCGUCGUAGUCUUAACCAUAAACUAUGCCGACUAGGGAUCGGAUGAUGUUAAUUUUUUCAAUGACUCAUUCGGCGCC
rnacentral:rRNA from 1 species